UGAUAAUUAGCAAUACUCACUUAGACUUAUAUAUCGUUUCAUAGUGCUUUACAGCCCUCUCCAAACUGUUUACAGCGUCAACAUAUUGCUUCCAACAAUCUGGCUCCUCAUUUUACCGACCUCAGAAGGAUGGAAGGCUGAGUCAACAUUUAACCUGGUGAAAUUCGAACUGCCAAAUUGCAAGCAGCCGGCAGAUAGCAGAAGUCUCACAGCUAAGGUGCAACAGGAGAUUGUACAUGGCUGUUGUGCCAGUCCUCUUCUCGGUACAUUGUGAUCCUCUCCAUUAGGAGACUCCAGAGAAGUUCAACCCAGAUCAUUUUUUGGAUGAAAAGGGCCAAUUCAGGAAAAGAGAUGCUUUCAUGCCAUUCUCAGCAGGGAAGAUGGCUUGUCCAGGAGAGGCCCUGGCUAGGAUGGAGCUCUUCCUGUUCUUCAGCACCUUGCUCCAGAGGUUUACCUUCUAUCUGUCAGAUCAAAAGUAGCUUGCAGUGCUGCAUUCUAACCACUGCACCACCAUGACUCAUUAU